CCUACGGGAGGCUGCAGUGAGGAAUAUUGGUCAAUGGGCGGGAGCCUGAACCAGCCAAGUCGCGUGAGGGAAGACGGUCCUAUGGAUUGUAAACCUCUUUAGGCGGGGAGCAAUGCCGGGCACGCGUGCCCGGAGGGAGAGUACCCGCAGAAUAAGCAUCGGCUAACUCCGUGCCAGCAGCCGCGGUAAGACGGAGGAUGCGAGCGGUAUCCGGAUUUAUGGGGUUUAAAGGGUGCGUAGGCGGAUUUUUAAGUCAGCGGUAAAAUGUCCGGGCUCAACCCGGGCCGGCCGUUGAAACUGGGGAUCUUGAGUGGGCGAGAAGUAUGCGGAAUGCGUGGUGUAGCGGUGAAAUGCAUAGAUAUCACGCAGAACUCCGAUUGCGAAGGCAGCAUACCGGCGCCCGACUGACGCUGAGGCACGAAAGCGUGGGGAUCGAACAGGAUUAGAUACCCCAGUAGUC
rnacentral:rRNA from 1 species